rnacentral:rRNA from 1 species
UACGUAGGGUCCGAGCGUUGUCCGGAAUUACUGGGCGUAAAGAGCUCGUAGGUGGUUUGUCGCGUUGUUCGUGAAAACUCACAGCUCAACUGUGGGCGUGCGGGCGAUACGGGCAGACUUGAGUACUGCAGGGGAGACUGGAAUUCCUGGUGUAGCGGUGGAAUGCGCAGAUAUCAGGAGGAACACCGGUGGCGAAGGCGGAUCUCUGGGCCAUUACUGACGCUGAGGAGCGAAAGCGUGGGGAGCGAACAGG